AUUUUUUAUAUUUAUUUCCUCCCUUAAAAAAAUUCAUUCCCUUCUUUAAAAAAAGUGAGGUCACACCCAGUGCAGGCUCCUUGGUCACACCAUGUGAUGAGAUCACACCUGGCCCAGGGGCCCUGCUCAUACCAUGUGAUGAGGUCACAGAGGAAGCACCUAAAUUCAACACAGAGGUGAGUGAGGGCAUCAGGAAGUGAUCCUACUGCUGUGUUUCCAGGGUCAGUGAGAGGUCUCACGCAUGCAGGGUGCAGCUGGAGGGAGCAGUUCGCUCCCAGCCGAGGCAGCCACACGGGAGCAAGAGGCACCUGGCAGGAGGAGCGUGGCAUGGAGAGUGGCAGGAGAUGAGCUGGUGCUGUCCACUAUCUGGGACGUGUGGGCUCAGACUUGGAAUCUGGCCUGGGGUCAGUCAGAGCUGCUGAGAGGACAUGAAGCUGAAGAGUGAUGCACCUCAUCAAGAAAUGUCCAUCUCUGCGUCUUCACCAGUGGACCAAGAGGCCCAGCACCCAUCACUGGACUUGGGCAAGUCAAAGUGACUGAAGGCAGAGAGCAAAGGACUUUCAAAGCCAGGACAUCAUGACUCACUUCUCCUCAGAGCUGCCGAGGGGUAUCUGAACAACUGAACACCACUGUCACCGGCGUUGGCCCUGCCAUGGCAUAGGAGGCCUUCUAAGGGCUGAUAAGCAGAGAUUACUAAGUGUUCAAUUUCCUGAAAACAUCUCCUACCUGAGAUUUAUUUACCAUUCAGCUGCUCCCGGCAAUGUGGCCUUGUUCUUCAGAAUCACUUUACUUUACUUAAUCUCCAAGAGAGAUCGCAACAUAAAUAUGAGCUUACUUGGAAAGAGCCUUGGAGAGCCUCUGUACCAUGCUUUCUUCCCCUUGAGCGGACGAGCAUUUUAUUUUGAUGUUUAUCUGGUGCCAUGGUAACUUCCAUGACUUGAAAUUUACUUUUCAGACUUAGAAGUGAGGACAGAAAGUCAUUUUAGCAAAUAAUUAUUGAGUACCUAUCAAACAUGGAAGAGAAGAUGAAUAAGACAUUGCUUUUCUCAAAUGGGCACAAGUCAGAGUGCCAAUGGCUAGACUAGAAAUCUGCAAACUUUUCCAGAAAAGAAGCCAAAUGGCAACUAUUUCAGGUGUUGCAGGCCACAUGGCGUCUGCUGCUAGAGAGCAAUAGCCACCAUAGACUAUAUAAGUGAACGAUUUCCAGGGCUGUGUUCCAAUAAAACUUUAUUUGUGGACAUCGAAUUGGAAAUUUCCUAAAUUUCUGUGUGUCACAAAACAUUGAACUUUUUAUUUUUUCUCAACUGUUCGAAAAUGUAAAAACCAGUCAGAGCUUGCAGGCAGCUAUGAAAAUAGGCAGCUGGCCAACUUUGGCCAAUGGGUGGGGACUUAGACUCCCGGAUGGACCCUCAGGUCUGCCCCUUACCAGCUCUAUGCGGGGAGGGGAGUUGCCUGAACUUCCUGAACCUGUUUUCUCAUCUGCAAAAUAGAGACGAAAAUCUUUGUCUUGUGAGUUCUAAGAAUUAGAUACUGAAACACAGAAAACACUGAUGAAUGUUAGUGGAUCUCCUUCCUUGAUGAUGAUAACGAUAACUAACCCUCUUGAACACUUAUUUCCUGCCAGGCACUGUGUUAAGUGCUACAUACUUUUUACAGUAUUUUAUCUAACCUAAGAUGCCAUUGAUUUUAAGAUGCACCAUUAUUGAAUGUACCACCAAGAAAGAAAAAGCUGCCAGUUAACCUCUGAUGCAGCAUCGAUUGUAAGAUUCUGAUUCACAAAUGCCCAAGAGUAUGUGUGUUUUGGAGGAUGCAUCUUAGAAUCAAUACAAUAUGGUAUUUUCUUUAAUCCCACAGUCAUCCCAGGAGGUAGGUACUCUCAUCAUCCCGAAUUUACAGCUGAGGAAGGUGAGGAACAGUUUCUAGCCCAUGCUUAAACAGCUAGGAAGUAUCCAUGCUGAGACCGUGAACCUGGGCAACCUAGUCCAGGAUCUGAGCUCUGCCUCAAGGGCACAGGCUCCUGUGAGAAGGCUGGACCACCUGGGACUCUGAAUAUGCAAGGGAAGGGAGAGAAAGUCUGAAACAGGGUGAACACUACCAGGCCAGUAAAUCUCAUCCCUCUGGUGUUUCAAAGUAGGGUAUGAAUGCAGUAACAGAUAACAGGGAUUUGAAAAUGUGUAAUCAAAGUGGCAAGAUGCAUGAAGGUCUAAGCCUGCAGGUUCCUUCUGAUGGCUGUGCUGGGAAGGGAGGAUGGGAGUAGAUGCUGACAGCGUGUAAUGUGGACAGAGCAGGGCAUGAGGAGGAGCCCAGGGAGAUCUUUCUUACACUUGAGCUUUCCUGUCCUGUGUGGAAGGAACACAUGUGGGCUGUGGAGUUCAGGGGCCAGAGACAAGCCUGCAGCUCUGUCAUGUACUGGCAGCGUGGCCUGAGAAAACUUCGGCUCUCCCACCCCCACCUGUGUGUCUCCCAUCCUCUCAUGCACAGGGCCAUCAGCAUGGACUCCAGCCUCCCAGCUCAGCCGUGAGCAGGAGGUGAGACCAUGAGCAUCCCAGAGAGCUGGAGCACAGCCUGGACAUUCAGUGAGCCUCAGGGCACGCAAGGCAUAGGGCAAUCUAGACUAACAUUCUCUUCCAAAUUCCGACUUGUUUUUAUUUCACAAUGUCCAUCUCAAAUCUCUC